GUCAUCAUAUAUCUCAGCUGACAAAAGAGAAGAUUCUACUAGAAAAGCACAUGUAUGACCUUCAGAUGAGACUGGUGAGAUUUGAGAGAGAGAGAAAUAAAGAAUUCAGGAGUGCAUCAACUCAAGCAAGUCCACCUGAGGAGCCUAAAG